GAUGGGCCUGCGGCGGAUUAGGUAGUUGGUGGGGUAACGGCCCACCAAGCCUACGAUCCGUACGGGCCCUGAGAGGGGGCGCCCGGAGAUGGACACUGAGACACGGGUCCAGGCCCUACGGGGCGCAGCAGGCGCGAAACCUCCGCAAUGCGCGAAAGCGCGACGGGGGGACCCCGAGUGCCCACGCUCCGCGUGGGCUUUUCCGGAGUGUAAACAGCUCCGCCAAUAAGGGCUGGGCAAGUCCGGUGCCAGCAGCCGCG
rnacentral:rRNA from 1 species